rnacentral:misc_RNA from 1 species
GAAAUGCGAUAAGUAAUGUGAAUUGCAGAAUUCAGUGAAUCAUCGAAUCUUUGAACGCACAUUGCGCCCGCCAGCAUUCUGGCGGGCAUGCCUGUUCGAGCGUCAUUUCAACCCUCAAGCACUGCUUGGUGUUGGGGCCCUACGGUCGACGUAGGCCCUCAAAGGUAGUGGCGGACCCUCUCGGAGCCUCCUUUGCGUAGUAACUUUUUGUCUCGCACUGGGAUUCGGAGGGACUUCCGGCCGUAAAACCCCCCAAUUCUUCCAAAGGUUGACCUCGGAUCAGGUAGGAAUACCCGCUGAACUUAA